rnacentral:rRNA from 1 species
CCUACGGGAGGCAGCAGUGAGGAAUAUUGGUCAAUGGGCGCAAGCCUGAACCAGCCAAGUCGCGUGAGGGAUGACGGUCCUAUGGAUUGUAAACCUCUUUUGUCGGGGAGCAAGGCCCGCCACGUGUGGCGGGAAGGAGAGUACCCGAAGAAAAAGCAUCGGCUAACUCCGUGCCAGCAGCCGCGGUAAUACGGAGGAUGCGAGCGUGAUCCGUAUUUAUUGGGUUUAAAGGGUGCGUAGGCGGAAGGUUAAGUCAGCGGUAAAAUGUCGGUGCUCAACACCGGCCGGCCGUUGAAACUGGUCUUCUUGAGUGAGCGAGAAGUAUGCGGAAUGCGUGGUGUAGCGGUGAAAUGCAUAGAUAUCACGAAGAACUCCGAUUGCGAAGGCAGCAUACCGGCGCUCAACUGACGCUGAGGCACGAAAGCGUGGGGAUCGAACAGGAUUAGAUACCCUAGUAGUC